rnacentral:rRNA from 1 species
GACGAACGCUGGCGGCGUGCUUAACACAUGCAAGUCGAACGGAAAGGCCCUGCUUUUGUGGGGUGCUCGAGUGGCGAACGGGUGAGUAACACGUGAGUAACCUGCCCUUGACUUUGGGAUAACUUCAGGAAACUGGGGCUAAUACCGGAUAGGAGCUCCUGCUGCAUGGUGGGGGUUGGAAAGUUUCGGCGGUUGGGGAUGGACUCGCGGCUUAUCAGCUUGUUGGUGGGGUAGUGGCUUACCAAGGCUUUGACGGGUAGCCGGCCUGAGAGGGUGACCGGCCACAUUGGGACUGAGAUACGGCCCAGACUCCUACGGGAGGCAGCAGUGGGGAAUAUUGCACAAUGGGCGGAAGCCUGAGGCAGCAACGCCGCGUGCGGGAUAACGGCCUUCGGGUUGUAAACCGCUUUCGCCUGUGACGAAGCGUGAGUGACGGUAAUGGGUAAAGAAGCACCGGCUAACUACGUG